AUUUUGUUGCAUAUCAUAGAAUGCACAACACAUUCAAACAAUUCACAUGACUCUUUAAAAUGUGAAGUAAACUUUCUGUUAUCCCGAUUUUGCCCUCCCAACACCUUAUCCUCCUCUGUCUUCUCGAGUCUUCUUUGUCCCCCCUGCUCGCGGCAGAGGCGGCGCUCGCGGAUCCGGCGAGAAGGCGCGCAGGCGAGCUGAGCGUGCGUGCCCUCGGCGGCGGCUGAGCAGGCGCCCCCGCUGGGCAGUAGCCCCUGGCUCGCGCGCCCCUGAGCGGCGGCCGAGCAGGUCCCCCACGCAAGCAGUGAGAGAUGGAGCGCUAGGGAGCUCCAGCGAUUCAGCUUGGCUUCCUGAAGGAUCCGCGCGCGCACACUGGAUCCCGCCGCCGGCGCCGAGCGACAGCGCGUUGUACAACGGUGCCGGGAGCCGUCGACAUCCUGGGGCAACGGGGAAGAAGCCGUAGACGAGGGAAGCGCCGGCUGCUCUCUCUCUCCGUCUUGAAAGCGCUCGGUGAAGACGUAUUUUGGUGCUCCCGAUGCAAAUCGACGACCUCGUCGAUCCGUUGUACUUGCCCUAAUAUAUUUUUCCCUAAGGGCAUCUUUACUCACAUGGGACUUAAUGUGUGGUUCCAUGCUGAAACUUUAAGAUUCCUCCAUUUUAGUUAAAAAUGAAAUACAAGCAAGUGGAUAUAUAGGCAUCGAUUAGCAGGUCUCUGUAUUUCCUGAAGUUACUUUGAGCUGCAUCGUUCAGUCCCUCUCUUUUGCUUA